rnacentral:lncRNA from 1 species
AUUUGGUUUACAUUUGUAACAGUUAAUAUAGCUGCUGUGUUGAGAACGGAUUGUACAAAGACACACAUGAUAUUACGAAGAUAAAUAGAAAGUGCAAGUAGAAGAGAGGACAGAAGAAGAGAGGACCCAGCUUUCCUUACCCUCUUUAGCCAGACUUCCCCGAAGUCCUAACAGGUUCAGAAGACUUAAAGUUCUUUGUUCCCAGAGGAAGAGCUCUUCCAUGAGUGAAUAAAGCCGAAAUUAAACUUUAAGCUAUGGCAUCCAAACAAAUAUCUGGGAUUUGUGCCAAGGGAUCAGCAGGCAAGGAUAUAAGACAUCAUCCUGGCAGGUUAUUGACUCAGCAUCAAGAGGAAGUACAGCUGCUGUUAACACAGUGGGACAAAGGAGAAUAUGGUUGGCAUCAAGGCAGUGGUGUGUUGGUAUCAGCUCUUAAACCUGCUCACCAGAGCCAGUUAUGUACAUCUCUUCUCAACUCCUCAUUCAAUUAGGAAAUCUGCUUGUUAAACAUUUACCAUUAUAUGACUUAUCCAGGAGAGUUUAUGGAGCAUCUCUUAGUACUCCUUUGGCCAUUUUCAAUUUUACAUAAUUUAAUGUAGCAGUCACAACAUGAGGAAGGAUUGGAGAUCAGCGGCUCAGCCACCGCAGAGAUGAGAGUCUGGGUCACUCCUUCAAGUAAGCCACUUAGAUCAGCAGAGGUGAUAGGCUAGAGUUGGGUGAUUUUAGAAUUAAUGUUAGAGAAGAUAGAUAAUGAGUAUCAGUUGUGGCAUUGAGACCAGCUACAGCAGUGAGGGCUGUAUUUUUUUUUCUAACUUUAUUUUUUUAUGAGCUAUAGUGAAUAUCAUUAUGCUCCACCUAGAUUUCCUUUCAGAAAUGAGGUAUUCAUGCCUCACCUACUAGAUUUGUUAGCUACUGAGGGCACACAACUGAGUUCCUCUACAGCAAUUACCCUUGGUUUAAGGUAUACCCUUUCUUCAGUUUAAGUUACACCUUAUUUCUACUCAUUCAGAGACUGCUAUGGAAAGCAAUACAAAGGCCCAGAGGCUAGCCUUAAUUCAAAGCAGUUUUCAAUUGUCUUCAUGAAAUCAGCUGAGAUGGUGGUCAUGCCUAUCAUCGUUGAACUCCUGCCCCAACUGGGUUACUUUUCUUCCUAACAGAUGUUAUUCCUGAAACUAUUCCCAAUAAACUUCUGGCACAUCAAUCUCAGUCACAGAUUCUGAAAUGCCAACUCUACAGGUAGAUUUUACAAAAGCUUGAAUAAACUUAUUUCUACAAAUUAACAGAAAGUUUCCUAAAACUAAAGUAUAUUUACCACUGUUACAUAAAUAUGAUAUAACCCCAUUAGCCCUAUAGCCUGUAGUCUUCAAAAUGUCAUCCUGAGUCUAGGAUUUCCUUGCUCCUAUAUUUAGCAAUUUAUAGAUAAUAUUGUGAUCUGAUUUUAAUGAAAUUUUGGUGAAUCCUGUCACAAAAAAUAUUUUCCUUUACAGGCAAAGUAUGUCCUUUACAGGCAAAGUAUGUGUAUGUGUGUAUGUGUGUGUGUGCAUUGUAUAUCUUGA